GAUGAACGCUGGCGGUAUGCUUAACACAUGCAAGUCGAACGGACUCUUCGGAGUUAGUGGCGGACGGGUGAGUAACGCGUGAGAAUCUGGCUUUGGGUUCGGGACAACCACUGGAAACGGUGGCUAAUACCGGAUGUGCCGAGAGGUAAAAGAGAAAUUGCCUGAAGAUGAGCUCGCGUCUGAUUAGCUAGUUGGUGAGGUAAAGGCUCACCAAGGCAGCGAUCAGUAGCUGGUCUGAGAGGAUGACCAGCCACACUGGGACUGAGACACGGCCCAGACUCCUACGGGAGGCAGCAGUGGGGAAUUUUCCGCAAUGGGCGAAAGCCUGACGGAGCAAUACCGCGUGAGGGAAGAAGGCUCUUGGGUUGUAAACCUCUUCUCUUAGGGAAGAACAAAAUGACGGUACCUAAGGAAUCAGCAUCGGCUAACUCCGUG
rnacentral:rRNA from 1 species